rnacentral:rRNA from 1 species
UACGAAGGGGGCUAGCGUUGCUCGGAAUCACUGGGCGUAAAGCGCACGUAGGCGGAUUGUUAAGUCAGGGGUGAAAUCCUGGAGCUCAACUCCAGAACUGCCUUCGAUACUGGCGACCUUGAGUCCGGGAGAGGUGAGUGGAACUCCGAGUGUAGAGGUGAAAUUCGUAGAUAUUCGGAAGAACACCAGUGGCGAAGGCGGCUCACUGGCCCGGUACUGACGCUGAGGUGCGAAAGCGUGGGGAGCAAACAGG